UAACAGAGAGUUCGAUCAUAUCAGAUUGAACGCUGGCGGAUCUUUACACAUGCAAGUCGAACGGCAGCACGGACUUCGGUCUGGUGGCGAGUGGCGAACGGGUGAGUAAUGUAUCGGAACGUGCCUGGUAGCGAGAUAACUACGCGAAAGCGUAGCUAAUACCGCAUACGCCCUUCGGGGAAAAGCGGGGGACCUUCGGGCCUCGCACUAUUAGAGCGGCCGAUAUCGGAUUAGCUAGUUGGUGGGGUAACGGCUCACCAAGGCGACGAUCCGUAGCUGGUUUGAGAGGACGACCAGCCACACUGGGACUGAGACACGGCCCAGACUCCUACGGGAGGCAGCAGUGGGGAAUUUUGGACAAUGGGGGAAACCCUGAUCCAGCCAUCCCGCGUGUGCGAUGAAGGCCUUCGGGUUGUAAAGCACUUUUGGCAGGAAAGAAACGUACCGGGAUAAUACCCCGUGCAACUGACCCGAACACCUGCAGAAUAAGCGCCGGCUAACUACGUGCCGGCAGCCGCGGUAAUACGUAGAGGUGCAAGCGUUAAUCGGAAUUACUGGGCGUAAAGCGUGCGCAGGCGGUUCCGGAAGAAAAGAUGUGAAAUCCCAGAGCUUAACUUUGGAACUGCAUUUUUAACUACCGAGCUAGAGUGUGUCCAGAGGAGGUGGAAUUCCGCGUGUAGCAGUGAAAUGUGUAGAUAUGCGGAGGAACACCGAUGGCGAGGCAGCCUCCUGGGGCUACUGACGCUCAUGCACGAAAGCGAUAGAGCAAACUGGGAUUAGAUACCCUGGUAGUCCACGCCCUAAACGAUGUCAACUAGCUGUUGGGGCCUUCGGGCCUUGGUAGCGCAGCUAACGCGCGUGAGAAGUUGACCGCCUGGGGAGAGUACGGUCGCAAGAUUAAAACUCAAAGGAAUUGACGGGGACCCACCUGGCGGUGGAUGAUGUGGAUUAAUUCGAUGCAACGCGAAAACCUUACCUACCCUUGACAUGUCUGGAAUCCCGAAGAGAUUUGGGAGUGCUCGCAAGAGAACCGGAACACAGGUGCUGCAUGGCUGUCGUCAGCUCGUGUCGUGAGAUGUUGGGUUAAGUCCUGGCAACAGCGCUGUCAUUGGAUUGCUACGAAGGGCACUCUAAUGAAGCUGCCGGUGACAAACCGGAGGAAGGUGGGGAUGACGUCAAGUCCUCAUGGCCCUUAUGGGUAGGGCUUCACACGUCAUACAAUGGUCGGGACAGAGGGUCGCCAACCCGCGAGGGAGCAAUCCCAGAAACCCGAUCGUAGUCCGGAUCGCGGUCUGCAACUCGACUGCGUGAAGUCCGGAAUCGCUAGUAAUCGCGGAUCAGCAUGUCGCGGUGAAUACGUUCCCGGGUCUUGUACACACCGCCCGUCACACCAUGGGAGUGGGUUUUACCAGAAGUAGUUAGCCUAACCGUAAGGAUGGCGAUUACCACGGUAAGUUCAUGACUGGGGUGAAGUCGUAACAAGGUAG
rnacentral:rRNA from 1 species